UUCACCAUGUUGACCAGGCUGGUCUCAAAUUCUUGACCUCAAGUGAUUCGCCCACGUUGGCCUCCCAGAGUGCUGCAAUUACAGGCGUGAGCCACCUUGCCCAGCCCUGAGUGGGACUUAAAUGCAGAUCUAGCCUAAUUUAGAGCUCCAAGCCCGAAUCAAACUUGACUUGUAAAGCCAAUAAAAACCCCUUGGAGAAUUGGCCUCAGAUCUUGUCUGCAACAGUCCCUGUAAAGGUAAGUAAAGAAUGACCUGUGAUAAGUAAAGAAUGUCACUUUCUGACAGGUCCAGGAGUCCCAAGUUAUCUUGGGACCCCAAGAGGACAGGAAUUUACUCAAAUCAUAGAUAUUUGAGGGUACAAACACAUGGCCGAGCUUGGCUUUACAAAGUCUUAUCUAAGAUCACUUCUAUAGAGCAGAGUUCUAUCAAAGCCAAUUUAAAAAGAGCCUAUGUGAAAAAUAAUUAUUCUUGUUGCACUUUAUACAAAUAAUCAGGCCAAGUAUAACAAAGCAAAUCAGUCUUACCAUGAUUUGUCUUUAGCAAAAAUGAGAAACUGGAGAGAGUAAUAUUAUGUUUCAAGAAUUAUGGUAUACUUGUUAUUAAAUUCUAGUCUCAUUAGUUGUUUUUAAGUUUAUUUCUGCAAUUUAGGCUAACCCUGCUUGUUCCUGUAAACCAACCAAUGAUCUCUGACUGCUGCUCAGAAGAAACAAAAGGGAUGGGAACUGGCCAUAAAGAAAUUCUCUGGCAUGCCCGUCUAAUGUGGAUCAUAAGCAUCUUAUUCCAGAGGAGUCCUGCUCUAUACCCAGCAGGAAGGAAUCCUACUCAGAGAGGUCAAGAAGAAGAGAUGGAGUCUUGUUAUGUUGCCCAGGCUGGUCUUGAACUCCUGGCCUCAAGUGAUAUUCCCACCCUGGCCACCCAGAGUGCUGGGAUUACAAGUGUGAGCAACUGCGUCUGGCCUAAAGUCUAUGUCUUCUGCACAGGUUUUCUCUCUGCUCUGCUGCCGCAUCCAUGCAUGUUUAUAUAAUAAUAGCUAACUUAUAUGAAGCCACUUCUCUGUGCCUGGCAUUGUAUAUCCUUAUAAUACAUGUAUUAUUUAAUCCCUGUUGUAGAGACAGGAAAAUCGAGUCUCAGAAAGUUAAAAUUUUUUGCCCAACAUCUCACAAGUUUCAAAUGAACUCUAAUUCAGGUAGUUAAUUGUCUUAAAAGCACUCUUCUUUCCAGCAGACUUGUAAAUUUCAAAGUAAAUUGGACAUUUAGUUUAAACUUUGCAUUUUUCUGGAAAAAGAGAGGAAAAAUAGGAAAUCCUUCAUAAUUUCAAAAGUUUUAGAAUAAAUAAUAUGGGAAGAGGCUACAUUGUUAUGGAGAUCCUGGGCCAGUUAGUGAAAAUGGCUGAAUGUUACUAUUUAGUGCAUUUAAUCUACAAAUUCAGACUUCAUUUUCAAGCUUCACAUAUUUUGGAGGUAUCUGUGGAGUAUAGUUUUAUGACUAAAUUUUGUGUCCCAAGAUGCUUCCUUUACUCUUGACGCUGAAAUAACUACACUAGAUUAAAUACAGAAAGGGUUUGUAAGUCAACAUUCAAGAAAAUAACACACUGAACAUGUGGUUUUAAAUAAUGUUUUAAAGAAGAAUGAGAAGGUUAUUUUGCAAGACAGAGGGGAUUGUCACAACAUGCCCACCUGGAAUUCUAAGGCAAGAAUAUAAAUGGAGACUCAUAAAUCAUUUGUUCAAUUAUUUUCAAAUUAGUUCUUAAAAAUUUAAAGUCAAACACAAAUUAUAAGAUUGAAAAGU